CCGGUAGCUCGGUCGGAAUAGUUAGCGUUCGCUACAAAGCAUCGCAAUUUAUUACCUGGGCACGCAACCAAACAGCCCGAACGGUUAAUUUCGCGAUAAAUGAAAAAAUUCAAUUUGUACCAAUUGUUUCAUUAAGCAUUACAGCGACAAAUGAAAUAACGAGUCGCGGAUAGAGGCGAGUAUUGCCGUUAUGUUCGUUGCACUGUUUUUUUUUUGUUUUCGGUAGCCGGAUAGUGAGGGGUUAGUUUUGGUUGGCUGAAGAAACACUAAUCUCUCGAAAAAGAGCAUCAGGAAGUUUCUCUAAUCGUCAAUGUGGAAGGGGGUCGACACUAACACCGAAGAAGAAAAAAGAGUAAUAGGAAAUGAGAAGAUCUAUAAGAUAUAUGUUUUGUAAGCCUGCAAAUUAAUGUCUCUUUACACAAAUUUGAUCCAGCUAUUGACAUUUUAGAUAACACGCUUCUCAGCCUGAGACACCGACUCCAAAAGCUUUAUCUCGAAAUGCGAGAUGCGAGAGUGAAAGGCAAACGAAAAUAUCCGCAUAGCGUGUGUAAAGUCGAAUCUCUGGACAACUUAUAUCCUCUAGGUGCCGGAGUAAUCCGGAUGGUUAUAUCGCGCCUCUGGGAACUGCGACUUGACUAGACGCAAAUCUCGACGACGUCACCCGCCUACUAAAAGGUUAAAGUAAUUUGCGGCCUUUUGUAAGUUUUGUUUCCGCGUUUCUGAUUGUUAGUAAGGAAUCGUGGAAGAAGAUUAAUGAUAAAAGUUCGCUCGGAAUACGUUAUUCGUUGAUAAGUAUGCGCGAUGUGGAGUUUGACAUUUACCGAACGUUAAGCUUUAUGUAUAGUCUUCCUCCCGAGAUUCUGGCAAGAGGAGAUUUAUCGCCUUGCCGACUGUCCAUCGGGGAUUCGAAGAGAAGUUUAUGAGUGGUACUAGAAGUUAUUGACACUCUAGAUAGACAUGUAUUCAAAGGUCCAAAUAACGCUAGUUCCGUUCUUGGAUAAAAGCUCUAUUUCUAAUAGAGAGAAAAUUUUAUUUUAAAAAAGUCAUUGAGGGUACAAAACAUUGAAGCAUUGCGUAUGAUUGCUAUGUCUUGAAAAAUAUUAAUUAAUAACGGUCUGCUCCUCUUUACAAUAUUAUUGAAGAGUCUUCUUUUUCUUUGAUAACAUGAUGGACAGCUCAAUCAAAAAACCCUCUUUAAGGAGUUCAUAUUCGCUCUCAACAUGCGCAUCCAUUACUUUUUUCCCUUAACGAUGGAAUUUUAAUUUUACAGUUGUAAUACUGCAAUUAUUUUCAAACUACCUAAGAU